GAGAGAUCUUGUUGCUGGUGGUGGUGUUACCCUGAGCCUUGCCCUCGAUAAGGUGGCUCCACUAACUGCAAAGCCAACCUGUUGCGUUUUGCACUCUUUUCUAGAGAGCAUCUCUUGCGACACCUGCCUUGUGAAGAGUCGCUCCACCGGGUGCCUGACGGGGCUGGAGGGCUGCAUUACUCUCGGCGCAAAAUGCAUGACAAUCCGCAUCUUCUACAAAGGAAAGGUGAAAAUUCGUAUCCAUGGUUGUAGCAAGCGAGACAGACGGGGAUGUGGCGUGGAAAAGGAGUCUGGUGAUCACAAAAUGACAAUCAGGUGCUGCAACUCUGACAGAUGCAAUGCAGGGAAACAAUGGGGAAAGGCCCAGGGCAGUGAGGAGGAGGAGGAAGAAGUUCCAUAGCAUCCAGCUCCAUCUCCUCCUCCUCCUCCUCCAUUAGCAGCCCUGAGCUGGAGAGUCCUUCUCAACAGACCAGCUAGAAUGCGGAAAAUCCUUCUCACCUUUUCAUCCAUGUUAUUAGCUAACCUUAUCAUCUUUUGGCUUUCCUCAAAAUCCUUCAGACAAUGUGCUUGAGGAGGAACUGCUCUCCGAAAUGUGGUGGCUCCACCUGAAACAGGACUUCCUGCAAACUGUUUCAGGUGGACUUGGACUUGGAAUGACAUGGUGGUGGGGGCUUUAAAAAAAUCUUUUUGGGAUUGAGAAAUGGUUGUAUUAAGGAAACCUAAAUGGCACUUCAGAAUAAAUGAAUUCCACAAA